rnacentral:rRNA from 1 species
GACGAACGCUGGCGGCGUGCCUAAUACAUGCAAGUUGAGCGAGGAAGAUUGGUGCUUGCACCAAUUUGAAGAGCAGCGGACGGGUGAGUAACGCGUGGGGAAUCUGCCUUUGAGCGGGGGACAACAUUUGGAAACGAAUGCUAAUACCGCAUAACAACUUUAAACAUAAGUUUUAAGUUUGAAAGAUGCAAUUGCAUCACUCAAAGAUGAUCCCGCGUUGUAUUAGCUAGUUGGUGAGGGAAAGGCUCACCAAGGCGAGGAUACAUAGCCGACCUGAGAGGGUGAUCGGCAAAACUGGGACUGAGAGACGGCCCAAACUCCUGCGGGAGGCAGAAGUAGGGAAUCUUCGGCAAUGGAAGCAAGUCUGACCGAGCAACGCCGCGUGAGUGAAGAAGGCUUUCGGAUCGUAAAACUCUGUUGGUAGAGAAGAACGUUGGUGAGAGUGGAAAGCGCAUAAAGUGACGGUAACUACACAGAAAGCGACGGCUAACUACGUG